rnacentral:rRNA from 1 species
AUUGAACGCUGGCGGCAGGCCUAACACAUGCAAGUCGAGCGGCAGCGGGAAAGUAGCUUGCUACUUUUGCCGGCGAGCGGCGGACGGGUGAGUAAUGCCUGGGAAAUUGCCCAGUCGAGGGGGAUAACAGUUGGAAACGACUGCUAAUACCGCAUACGCCCUACGGGGGAAAGCAGGGGACCUUCGGGCCUUGCGCGAUUGGAUAUGCCCAGGUGGGAUUAGCUAGUUGGUGAGGUAAUGGCUCACCAAGGCGACGAUCCCUAGCUGGUCUGGGAGGAUGAUCAGCCACACUGGAUCUGAGACACGGUCCAGACUCCUACGGGAGGCAGCAGUGGGGAACAUUGCACAAUGGGGGAAACCCUGAUGCAGCCAUGCCGCGUGUGUGAAGAAGGCCUUCGGGUUGUAAAGCACUUUCAGCGAGGAGGAAAGGUUGAUGCCUAAUACGUAUCAACUGUGACGUUACUCGCAGAAGAAGCACCGGCUAACUCCGUGCCAGCCGCCGCAGUAAGAC